UUCAAUCUCAAUUUACCAUUCAAUACCAUGUUUUGAUUAUCUUUUUGCAGGCUUAAACUCAUAUUUUUAUUUUGAAUUUGCCAAUCCACUUUUGACCAAUGAGAUUUUAUGUUUUAUUUCCAAAGCUAUGGAUGUUUCUAAUGACAACUCAAAACUCUAUCAAAUUUCUUUGUGUGACUCUGUCAAAUAUGAAACCCCUUAUUUUAUUUAUUUACUUUUUUUUAAUAGGUAAAUCAAUUGUAUUAGAAGUGCCUAAUGUAGGGUACACAAAAGUGUACAUUAUGUAUACAAGGUACUAAAGGCCAAAAAAGAAGAGGUAUACUUAAAAAACACCCUCGCCUCACUUACAAUCCAGCCAAACAAUAAAAUCAAAUAAUGGCAAUGAGUUAAAACCCAAAUGCACCAUAAAGAGGGGAUACACAAAAAAUAACACUCUCGCCUUAAUUACAAACCAGCCAAACAAAAUCAAAUAAUGACAAUGAGAUAAAACUUAAAUGCACUCUAACCCAAUCCAAGAACAUGUACAUAAAGGACCGCAUAAUUACUUGGCUUGCCGUUUCAGAAUCAUCAAAGGCUCUCUAAUUUCACUACUUCCAAAUGGCCCAAAAUAAGCACAAAGAAGUUUCUCUCCACAAUUCCUUUUCUUCCCUACAAAAUCUCCAUACCAACUAAGAAGGGCAUCAUUGAUUGAAGGUGGUUGCACCCACUAAACACCAAAUAGAGCAAAAAUAAGCUACUAAAGCAUUGCUA
rnacentral:lncRNA from 1 species